rnacentral:rRNA from 1 species
GAUGAACGCUGGCGGCGUGCCUAAUACAUGCAAGUAGAACGCUGAAGGAAGGAGCUUGCUCUUUCCGGAUGAGUUGCGAACGGGUGAGUAACGCGUAGGUAACCUGCCUGGUAGCGGGGGAUAACUAUUGGAAACGAUAGCUAAUACCGCAUAACAGUAGAUGUUGCAUGAUAUCUACUUAAAAGGUGCAAUUGCACCACUACCAGAUGGACCUGCGUUGUAUUAGCUAGUUGGUGAGGUAACGGCUCACCAAGGCGACGAUACAUAGCCGACCUGAGAGGGUGAUCGGCCACACUGGGACUGAGACACGGCCCAGACUCCUACGGGAGGCAGCAGUAGGGAAUCUUCGGCAAUGGACGGAAGUCUGACCGAGCAACGCCGCGUGAGUGAAGAAGGGUUUCGGAUCGUAAAGCUCUGUUGUAAGAGAAGAACGAGUGUGAGAGUGGAAAGUUCACACUGUGACGGUAUCUUGCCAGAAAGGGACGGCUAACUACGUG